CCAGAAUCGCAUCGGAAUCAGCAUCAGGAUUUAUUUUUUUUUUUAAAUCGUCUCAUCACUGCUCCUAGAUAUUUCCCACCAUAGUUAUAUUGUGCUUUUUAAUCCGUUUCCCCCCUUUAUACGAUCCCAAUCCCAAUUUUUUCAUUACAAUAUACUCGUCUUAAAGACAACAUCUUAUUCAUAUUUAAAGUAAAUAAUACAAUCCACUAGUCCACUACCCUAAAUUAUCAUUGACACCUUUUAUUAGGGGAGGGGGUGUUAAGUCUAAAUUCCACUUUUGCUCUGAUUUUCUGAUAAAAUGGGAUGUUCUAACAACUUCCAAAAAAAAAAAAUUUCCAAUUCUGUGUUGCAAAGUUCGGGAGACUAUUUAGUAUAACAUAACUACUGUUGUAAAUGUACAUAUACAAUGAAAAAGUUAUUUUCAUUUUAUAAAAAAAGUAAUUUGGGUGAUGGGGCCCCAUCACACAAAUUACUUUUUUCGCUACCAAUUUUAAAAUUAUUUUCACCAAAAUUCUUCUAAGAUAUAGUUGCAAUAGAAAAGUUUGACAAAAAUUUGAUUUUCAAAUUUUUAAACCAAUUUUUGGGAUGAACGAUGCUGACAAGAGCAAGAAAGGAAGAACCACUAUUUUGUACACUUGCCAAAACUGUCCACCUGGCAGAAUAGCCUCAAGGAUAUCUACCAACACCAACUCGAGGAUCAAUCUCAACCGACACGUCAAGAAAUAUCACCUUAACAAAGUUAAAGAGUUCGAACUACUACUGGUGGCAAAACUAAGAUUGUGGAUAGGCGCUCCAAAACGGCACAUGCAAUUAUAAAUGGGGAUAGGCAAACUUCCACUUUGUCCUUAGCCAAAUCUCACCAGAGCUCACAGAUGCCCCAGGUCACUGUUGACAAUAUGAUUUUUGACUGGGUGAUAAACAUCUUCCAUUUUCAUCAGGAUGAUCACAACUUUCACUCACGGCAAAGAGGUUAUCUCCAAGGCCAGGCUUAUGUCCAAAAUUGAUAACGCCUUGAAGGAUAUAAAGGAGCCGAUAGUCAAUAAAUUGGCUGAGGCAGAUCAUAUCUACGCAAGCACAUAAAUCUGGUCAGGUGGCCACUGCACCUUCCUUGGUGUCACAGCUCACAACCUGACUCCCAAAUUGGGCAGAAGAAACUUUGCCAUCGCCUGCCGAGGAUGAAAGAGAAACAAGAUCACCAGAACAUCAAGAAACAGCUCAUCAACAUCUUCAGGGAGUAUAGUAACCAAUGGAAGUUGAUUUGUGUAGUCGCCUACUAUACCAGCAAUUUCAACAAAGCCUUCCAGCAAACUCCUCGUUCCUUAAAUCAAGCCCAAACUCAAGAGAAAGAACCCCUCGACUUGAACAUGUGCCUGAAGAAUCAUAUGAUGAUACUCAGCCCAUCAUUACUGAUGAAAAACGCGGACGACAGUGAUCUGGAUCUCCCCAUGCACUUCAGGUGUGCCUGUCAUAGCCUAAAUUUGGGGGCCACAGUCGACAGCAUGAAUGCCUCAAACUCGUUCAGCGGGGUAUACGCUAAGAACCAUUUUUGUCCCCCUAUAAAUAACAGUCUUUAUUUGAUUAAAUAAUUACCUACAGUCUCCUCUAGAAGUUGUGGAGUAAGAGCAACCAGUCGACAAGAUUCACAGACGAAGUGAGGGAGAAUUUGUCUCGCCUCUUCAUCCCUCCCAUCACUACAAGAGGGUGAAGGAACUCAGAGCCUCAUCACUCUGCUUGCCGGAGCUAACCUUCUUGCUCAAACUGAAAGAAACAUGAUGUUCAUAGAGGAGUGGCUGCGUGUGAUGCAGCACCUAGCUGCCGGCGUUGAGGUGCUCUAGGGAGACAAGGGCAUAUUUUUGGGGCACUGGACGAGGAGAAGGAAAACAUCGACAAAUGCAAGCCCCUGGUCGAAGCCUUAGUAGCUAAGAUUAACAAAAGCUUCGGACCCUACAUUGAAAUGAGGGAGAUGCUGGUCGCCUCUGUUUAUUUCACUCAAUCCAAAGAAGCCUUUCAUACUGAGGACACUCGAGAAAAAGCUAAACAAUUGCUUCUUGAGGAGACCACCUUAUUUGAAGAUCGGCCAUAGAAAGGAUCUUGACCUACCAGAGGACCAAAAAUGGAAAAAUAUAAUGUCGUGCAUCCUAGUAGUGGAGCAAGGGUUUGUUCUCCAAGACCAAACUGAUCCAGAGGAGUACUAGACAGAUGCUGAAAGACGAUACUUUUAAAAAGCAGCUCCUGUUAAUUUCAAAUAAGGACCUAUUAAUAUCAUAGUAAAAUAUUGCACAUAAAUAUAUUUGAAAAAGGUG
rnacentral:lncRNA from 1 species